rnacentral:rRNA from 1 species
GAUGAACGCUGGCGGCGUGCCUAAUACAUGCAAGUCGAGCGAACAGAUGAUGAGCUUGCUCCUCUGACGUUAGCGGCUGACGGGUGAGUAACACGUGGAUAACCUACCUAUAAGACUGGGAUAACUUCGGGAAACCGGAGCUAAUACCGGAUAAUAUAUUGAACCGCAUGGUUCAAUAGUGAAAGACGGUUUUGCUGUCACUUAUAGAUGAAUCCGCGCCGCAUUAGCUAGUUGGUAAGGUAACGGCUUACCAAGGCAACGAUGCGUAGCCGACCUGAGAGGGUGAUCGGCCACACUGGAACUGAGACACGGUCCAGACUCCUACGGGAGGCAGCAGUAGGGAAUCUUCCGCAAUGGGCGAAAGCCUGACGGAGCAACGCCGCGUGAGUGAUGAAGGUCUUCGGAUCGUAAAACUCUGUUAUUAGGGAAGAACAAAUGUGUAAGUAACUAUGCACGUCUUGACGGUACCUAAUCAGAAAGCCACGGCUAACUACGUG